AUGAUGUGCGGUUUCAGUACUACUAGGUGUGAGGAGGAGGAGGUUAGCCUUGAUGGCCAGGUGGUACCUCGGAAGGACACCUUUCGGUAUUUGGGGUCAAUGUUGCAGGAGGAUGGGGUUAUUGAUGAAGAUGUGAACCAUCGAAUCAAAGCCGGAUGGAUGAAGUGGCGCCAAGCUUCUGGCAUUCUCUGUGACAAGAGGGUGCCACAAAAGCUAAAAGGCAAGUUCUACAGGACGGCGGUUCGACCCGCAAUGUUGUAUGGCGCGGAGUGUUGGCCGACUAAAAGGCGACAUGUUCAACAGUUAGGUGUAGCGGAGAUGCAUAUGUUGAGAUGGAUGUGUGGCCACACGAGGAAGGAUCGAGUUCGGAAUGAUGAUAUACGAGAUAGAGUUGGGGUAGCACCAAUUGAGGAGAAGCUUGUCCAACAUCGUUCGAGAUAG
rnacentral:rRNA from 1 species